AUUGGGCGUAAAGCGAGCGCAGGCGGUUUAAUAAGUCUGAAGUUAAAGGCAGUGGCUUAACCAUUGUUCGCUUUGGAAACUGUUAAACUUGAGUGCAGAAGGGGAGAGUGGAAUUCCAUGUGUAGCGGUGAAAUGCGUAGAUAUAUGGAGGAACACCGGUGGCGAAAGCGGCUCUCUGGUCUGUAACUGACGCUGAGGCUCGAAAGCGUGGGGAGCAAACAGGAUUAGAUACCCUGGUAGUCCACGCCGUAAACGAUGAGUGCUAGGUGUUAGGCCCUUUCCGGGGCUUAGUGCCGCAGCUAACGCAUUAAGCACUCCGCCUGGGGAGUACGACCGCAAGGUUGAAACUCAAAGGAAUUGACGGGGGCCCGCACAAGCGGUGGAGCAUGUGGUUUAAUUCGACGCAACGCGAAGAACCUUACCAGGUCUUGACAUCUAGUGCAAUCUGUAGAGAUACGGAGUUCCCUUCGGGGACGCUAAGACAGGUGGUGCAUGGCUGUCGUCAGCUCGUGUCGUGAGAUGUUGGGUUAAGUCCCGCAACGAGCGCAACCCUUGUUAUUAGUUGCCAGCAUUAAGUUGGGCACUCUAAUGAGACUGCCGGUGACAAACCGGAGGAAGGUGGGGAUGACGUCAAGUCAUCAUGCCCCUUAUGACCUGGGCUACACACGUGCUACAAUGGCAGUCAUACAGAGGGAAGCAAAGCUGUGAAGCAGAGCAAAUCCCUAAAAGCUGUCCCAGUUCAGAUUGCAGGCUGCAACUCGCCUGCAUGAAGUCGGAAUUGCUA
rnacentral:rRNA from 1 species